CUCAACCUAAACUAACCCCAAAGCGCUUUUCUGUCUUGUCUGGGCAGAGAAUGCUUCUAUUAGGGGAAAUAAAAUUAAAGAGGAGCGGAACGAAGAAACCAGGAGCUGUUGAGUCACUGACUGAAGGAGCGCUGAGGAGGAAGGCGUGUACUUUGCUCAGAAAUCUGCAGAUGUACUGGGAUCUCAGUGGAUAACUUCCCCAAUGUGCAUCAUCAUCAUCAUCAUCAUCCUGCUGCUGCUCCUCCGCUUAGUGUGGGACAAUGGUCUCACAGUAUACCAGGCUGAAUGAAGCCUUUGUAGAGAUGGAGAAUGCAAUAUUAAAUCUGAUUACAGACUCUGGAUGGACACAGGGAGAUGAUGGAAAUAUGGAAGACUGUUUAAAGCCAGAAUAAGCUAAAGAGAUUUGUGUAAGUUAAAGAGAGAACUGUUACACAAGGGGACAUUAUUUCUAGUUAUAAAUACUAUAAGUACAGGGGAAGUCAAAAAUAGUGCAUCGAAAGUGGAUGGAGUGAACUUUUGAACCCAGUUGGGUAGAGGUGCAAGACAAAAGCAUUAUCAAUGACAAAUUACUAAAUACAAUCUGUUGGAGUUCAACAUAAGUUAAAGGUCGUCAAGAGGAUUACAUUACAUGAAUAUGUUUCUAUUCUAUUAACACCUGAGUGUCAAAAACCCGAACAUUUUCGGCAUCAUAACAGUAAACUUUAUGGCAGUACACCUGUAUUGCAUUUUUUUUAAAUUGUACCAGUGUACUUGAUCUCCGCAGUAGCUGCCAUAUUUGUUUGCACCAACACAUCCUGCUUUUUUUCCUGAUGCAACCAUUGAAUUUUUAAGAUGAUGCAGUAUUCAGUAUCUCUGCUUCGUCUUGACAGUGCACCCAAAUGGGAUUGUUGAAUGACUUUUAUCAAAAGAACAUGGCGAGUAAAAUGCUGCUGCAGCAGCCUCUGCUCUUCUGGUUUCCAGCAACAUGUUGGAACAACAAGUUCUUCCACAACAAACCCAGUAGCACAGCUCCGCGGGGCGGAGCCUCGCUUUGAGCGCACAACGUUGUCGUGCCGAAACAGGCCUUCCCCAAACUACCGCCCCAAACUAUUCACAGUCAUUAACCAUCUAAGUUGAAAAGAGAACCGGAAGAGAGGCACCCAGGAGGAACACACGCUACAUGUGUCCAUUCCACCACGGGCGUUUUGUUUUGUCAACGUGAACUCUACACAGCUCCUGUGCUUUUGUGACAGAUUAUUUACAGUGUAUUCAACACAAUAAGCUUUAAAGGGAUCCGCGAGAGCAUUCAGGGAGUCAAAGAGAAGGUUCAAUGAGGGAGAGCAUGAAAGGAAAGCUAAUACUUGGAGUCACAUCAGUGACCGAUGCCCAGCCAACACACACCGGUCAAAUCAACCGAGUUGUGCCGUGGUGUCGCUUGAUUGGUGGCAGAGGACCAUCGUUUGGUGAAGGAAGCUGUGAAGAAACGCAGCCACGUUAGCUGCUGCCCACCACUAGAAGCGCUGCACGCUGACAGAAGAUCAUCACGGUAACCACGGGCGUGACGUGUUGUCACGGCGGCUGCAAAGGCGGGAGCAGGAGUGACGUUGCAGGAGCACGUGGUGGCCGGUCUGCUAACACUGCGCUGCCACUACCGUCCGUCUCCUCCACAAAUCACAGCUACUGUACUGCACUGAUGAUAUGUAACACAUGUGUGCUAUGUGCUCUACUGCUCGUCCAUCCAUCCGUCCAUCCAUGCAGCCAGGCUCCAUGUCUGACAUUGACUCACUGAUCACCCGACAGGCAAAAUAUCCCACGGACGUGCCAGCAAAAGUAGUACGCACAGACAUUCCUUCUGCUCCUCGUCCUGAAAUGUGCAUUCGCUGUGAAAGAGAGAACUCGGCGGACUGAGCAUUAGACGUCAAUUCAAUGUUUGAAUCCGGCUGUCUUCUGUGAUUUGGCUCACACGAAGAGUAGAUUUUCACGUGGUGCUUUUCCAGAAAAAACACAUCCGGUAUAUAAUUAAAUCAUAGAUCUGGACUAAAAUGCUUUAAUACUUCAUAUUUCCUUUUAAAAGUCAGUGUGGAAAACCCAAAACAUUAAGACAAGUCAAUGUUAAAUUCCUGAGGUAACACAGAAAAAAACGAGUGCCCUUUACAUCUGUAUCCAAUAUUCACUCUACUGUGCAGUAUGUAAAAGCUGUAAAAGUUAUGUCCUCCCUGUUGAUUGAAAUGGUCUCGUUACAGCGGCGUGACUCUUCAAAGUUAGAUUUUAUGACGUUAAUGUGUGCCCCCGCAUAACUCUCAUUGGUCUGAAACUGUGUGUGUGUGUGUGUUUUGACUCUGACUCCGCUUCUGUGCAGGGAUCUGUGUUUGUGUUCAGUGAAGUCUGUAUAAUUAGGAGCAAAGGCAUCUGUAUUAACAUGCUGCUGCCAGUCUGCAUCACUAUGCUGCCAGAGGAGUUACAGCAACAGCAGGGGCCAACAAAAAAAAAGAAACCCAAAGUGUGCGUGUUGUUUUGGUGAUAUGAGUCAAGAACCGGGACAACUAAGAUCCAAGAGGAAGAGGAAGGUGGAGAUGAAGAGGAGGGAGCAGUGAUGGCAACGACGGUGAUGGCGACCAAAUGGCGUCAGUUAGGCAGUAACUGUAAGAGUAACGAAGGAGAGACAGAGGUCAAUUAUCCAAUAAUCAUUAUCUUCCCAACCACAGGGUUCAUAAAUCAAAAGCCAAUGAAGGUCUUCUUAUUUCGCCAUGUGUUAGCCACCAAACCCAUUGCACUCUUUACCCCAGUCCAGGCAGAAAUCCAUCACCACGUGAUGAGUCUCGAGCGGGGGAGCUGAUUUGCAAGGGACAGAAAUAGACACUCAGCAACAUUACUAAGAAUUUGAGACGUGGAAUCCGGCACGAUAUAAAUCAGUCGUCAGCUGAUCAUCCCGAUCAGUGGACUGGCCUUGCAAUCAGCUUUAAAAAAAACGAAAAGAAGGAAAGCCUACCAUUACUGAAAGGCACAGCACGGAGCUGCUGAGACCCGGUCAGACAGGCUCGGGAGGAGCAAUAGUUGAGAAGGAGCGGCACCGAGUGGCGACGUGUGCAAAUUGUUUUAACAGUAUUUAAAAGCAGCACAUGUAAUGAGAUCUGCUGUUUUGUUAGAUUACAUUCUGUGGUUGGACAUCGUUUCUUGGUGCCGAAAAUUCUAAAAUCCCCAAAGUUUACAGAAAACGUUGCAGCAUCAAACACAUGAAGUCCAGCUAAACACCUGCAAACUAGUGGCAGAACGUGUAAAAAAAAUUUUAUUGAUAGAGAGUGGACGGGGAAGCUGCUCUCUAAACCACUAUUAAAAUAACUUUUUUGCCCACACUUUUUAAACUUUAAUCACUUUAAUAAAGACCUAUUCGGAUUUAUAUUUCCCAAGAUUGAGUAAGUUGCUGAACAAACAUAGUACCAGUACAAAUUAAU
ensembl:lncRNA